GUCUAUGGCCAUACCACCCUGAACGUGCCCAAUCUUGUCUGAUCCUGUGAAGCUAAGCAGGGUUGGGCCUGGUUAGUUCUCGCAUGGGAGACCACCCGGGAAUACCGGGUGCUGUAGGCU
rnacentral:rRNA from 1 species